AGAGUUGUAUAGCUAUUUUCUGAUUUAUUGUUUCAGAGAUGUGUGAAUAUUUAAUUAACAAAAUAAAGCUAUAUACACUCUAUAUAUAUAUAUAUAUAGAAGAAAUGAAUCUAUUUCUUUUUUAUGUUCCGUCUUUUCUGUAGGAAAUCGAGAAUGAGAGAAAAUACGGCGUCGUUUUGCUUGAAGCUUCCCCCAUCGAAUGGCUUUCUCUUCCUCUUCAUUUCACCACACAACCCCAACAAUAGAACCGACCUGCAGAACCCUUAAACUGUUUUUUUUUUUUUUUUUUUUUUUUUUCAUUCUAUGCGAUAGGAUUUGGCUUAGAUUAAGCAAAACCAAAAGUUUUAACAAGGUAAGGUAUUGUCUUCUUUAGCUGCGAAUAUGUACAUAAACAAAAAGAAUUGAGUUGCAGCAUCUAACCUUGAAAAUUGAGUUUUAAUUCUAUGUGGCUUUGCCAUAAGGUAAGGUACUAUCUUCUUUGGCAGCAGAUUAUUUUCAAAGCUUGAAUUUUGUUGUUUUAAUUUGCGAAGCCAUAUUGUCGUUGCUGUUAAAUUGGGUUAAUAUUAUGGGAAAUAAGCUUAUGCUGCGAUGUUUUUGCUUGAAUCAUGAGCUGUGAGUUGUGGAUUGCGAAUGGUAAUUUCAGGUGCAGACUGUGGAUUGCUAAUGGAAAUUUGAGGCUGUGGCUGGAGCUGGAUCAAAGAAGGAAAGGGGAAAUAUUUGGCUGUGGCUGGAGCUGGUGGUUGGAUCUCAAUCGACAAAGGAAAGGGGAAAUAUUUGGUUGUGGCUGGAGCUUGUGGUUGGAGCUUGAAGCUCGAUCAACGAAGGAAAGACAAAGGAAAAUACUUGGGUGGAGCUCCAUCGACGAAGAAAAAGGGAAAUAUUUGGCAAACGAAAACGGCGUCAUUUUUUGUUUUAAUGAAAUGCUGCGUUUAAAUUUCGGAGUUUGGCCCGGGAUAAACAUCAUUUUCGUAAUUUAAUUAAGGGAUUGUUAUGUUACAGAAUCUGUAGCAUACACAUCCAAUGCAUGCACCACACCUGUCCUGCAUAUGG
rnacentral:lncRNA from 1 species